rnacentral:misc_RNA from 1 species
GAAAAAGAUGAAUAUUUGGGAUUUAGACUGCAGCAAUAUGCAGAAAAAGCAAACCAGCCAUUUUUGCUAUUGAUAGAUGAUGGCUUUUUGUGCCACUCGUACUCCUCCCUAAUGGUAGGAUGACAAAAGAUGGGGGGAACUCUUCCUUGUGAUUCCCCAUGACGUGGUGUACCGCAGCUAAUAAAGGCCAAUAAAUGUAUGCAUCUUUCCCUUAACUGUGACUCCAUUUCUU